UCUUCUGGAAGAAGUCCCCUUCUAUUUUGUUCCUAACUUUUCUUUCAUUCCAACCGAUAGCCCAGCAGCUCUUGUGUUUCAUGGUGCCCCAAAACGAUGUCUGCAUAAGGUGAUUCUCUCCUGACUCUUAAGUCAUAAUAACUGCCCUGACACCACACCCUAGGUAAUGUCACUAAAUGGGCAUAUUGUGCCUGUGACUCACAAAGCCUCAGUACUGCAGGGUUAGAUGUCUGAUCCAAGGCAGUACAUAGCUCUCCUGCCUAAUGACAGGUAAAAAGACCAAAAAAUUAAAGAACCCAGGUCACCAUUACUGGGGGAACCAUUGUAGGUACUGAAAAGAGCUUUAUUAUUAUUACUAAGAGCAGACCCACCACCAGGAAGGUCUCUUUACCAUCCCUUCUCUAGUGGGAGACAAGGAAGGGAUUUAUGGAUAUAAGAAGAGGUCCCUAGUUUUGAAAUGCUUGUGAGUUGAUGGAAGAGAAGAUUCUACUGAACAUAAAACCAUCAACCUAAGAAGAUAACGGAAUGGAAUUAGGAGCACAACCACCUACGAUCCAAAAGGGGACAAAACUUCCAGGCAUAAAAUAAAUAAUUCAUGGGAAUGUAAUGUACA